GUAGGGAAUAUUGGUCAAUGGACGAAAGUCUGAACCAGCCAUUCCGCGUGCAGGAAGAAGAUUCUAUGGAUUGUAAACUGCUUUUAGCAGAGAAGAAACGCCUUCGUUGAUGAGGGUUUGACGGUAUCUGCGGAAUAAGCACCGGCUAACUCCGUGCCAGCAGCCGCGGUAAUACGGGGGGUGCAAGCGUUAUCCGGAAUCACUGGGUUUAAAGGGUGCGUAGGCGGGAAAUUAAGUCAGUGGUGAAAGUCUGUUGCUUAACGAUAGAAUUGCCGUUGAUACUGAUUUUCUUGAAUUGGGUUGAGGUUAGCGGAAUGUGACAUGUAGCGGUGAAAUGCAUAGAUAUGUCAUGGAACACCAAUUGCGAAGGCAGCUAGCUGGGCCUUGAUUGACGCUGAGGCACGAAAGCGUGGGUAGCGAACAGGAUUAGAUACCCGAGUAGUCC
rnacentral:rRNA from 1 species